rnacentral:rRNA from 1 species
UAGGGAAUCUUCGGCAAUGGACGAAAGUCUGACCGAGCAACGCCGCGUGAGUGAAGAAGGUUUUCGGAUCGUAAAACUCUGUUGUUAGAGAAGAACAAGGACGUUAGUAACUGAACGUCCCCUGACGGUAUCUAACCAGAAAGCCACGGCUAACUACUUGCCAGCAGCCGCGGUAAUACGUAGGUGGCAAGCGUUGUCCGGAUUUAUUGGGCGUAAAGCGAGCGCAGGCGGUUUCUUAAUUCUGAUGUGAAAGCCCCCGGCUCAACCGGGGAGGGUCAUUGGAAACUGGGAGACUUGAGUGAAGAAGAGGAGAGUGGAAUUCCAUGUGUAGCGGUGAAAUGCGUAGAUAUAUGGAGGAACACCAGUGGCGAAGGCGGCUCUCUGGUCUGUAACUGACGCUGAGGCUCGAAAGCGUGGGGAGCAAACAGG